AGAGUUUGAUCAUGGCUCAGAAUCAACGCUGGCGGCGUGCCUAACACAUGCAAGUCGAACGCGAAAGUCCCGCAAGGGAUCGGUAGAGUGGCAAACGGGUGAGUAACACGUGGGUGACCUGCCUUCGAGUGGGGGAUAACGUCCCGAAAGGGACGCUAAUACCGCAUGACAUCCUGCCUUUGAACAGGCGGAGAUCAAAGCUGGGGAUCGCAAGACCUAGCGCUUGGAGAGGGGCCCGCGUCCGAUUAGCUAGUUGGUGAGGUAACGGCUCACCAAGGCAACGAUCGGUAGCCGGCCUGAGAGGGCGGACGGCCACACUGGGACUGAGACACGGCCCAGACUCCUACGGGAGGCAGCAGUGGGGAAUUGUUCGCAAUGGGCGCAAGCCUGACGACGCAACGCCGCGUGGAGGAUGAAGAUCUUCGGGUCGUAAACUCCUUUCGAUCGAGACGAACGGCUUCCGGGCUAAUCACCGGGAGAGUGACGGUACCGAGAGAAGAAGCCCCGGCUAACUCCGUGCCAGCAGCCGCGGUAAUACGGGGGGGGCAAGCGUUGUUCGGAAUUACUGGGCGUAAAGGGCUCGUAGGCGGCCAACUAAGUCAGACGUGAAAUCCCUCGGCUUAACCGGGGAACUGCGUCUGAUACUGGAUGGCUUGAGGUUGGGAGAGGGAUGCGGAAUUCCAGGUGUAGCGGUGAAAUGCGUAGAUAUCUGGAGGAACACCGGUGGCGAAGGCGGCAUCCUGGACCAAAUCUGACGCUGAGGAGCGAAAGCCAGGGGAGCAAACGGGAUUAGAUACCCCAGUAGUCC
rnacentral:rRNA from 1 species